GAUGAACGCUGGCGGCGUGCUUAACACAUGCAAGUCGAACGGAAAGGCUCCUGCUUGCAGGGGUACUCGAGUGGCGAACGGGUGAGUAACACGUGGGUGAUCUGCCCUGCACUUCGGGAUAAGCCUGGGAAACUGGGUCUAAUACCGGAUAGGACCACAUUUUGGAUGGUGUGGUGGAAAGUUUUUCGGUGUGGGAUGAGCUCGCGGCCUAUCAGCUUGUUGGUGGGGUAAUGGCCUACCAAGGCGUCGACGGGUAGCCGGCCUGAGAGGGUGUACGGCCACAUUGGGACUGAGAUACGGCCCAGACUCCUACGGGAGGCAGCAGUGGGGAAUAUUGCACAAUGGGCGCAAGCCUGAUGCAGCGACGCCGCGUGGGGGACGACGGCCUUCGGGUUGUAAACUCCUUUCGCUAGGGACGAAGCGCAAGUGACGGUACCUGGAGAAGAAGCACCGGCUAACUACGUG
rnacentral:rRNA from 1 species